rnacentral:rRNA from 1 species
GACGAACGCUGGCGGCGUGCUUAACACAUGCAAGUCGAACGGAAAGGCCCUGCUUUUGUGGGGUGCUCGAGUGGCGAACGGGUGAGUAACACGUGAGUAACCUGCCCUUGACUUUGGGAUAACUUCAGGAAACUGGGGCUAAUACCGGAUAGGAGCUCCUGCUGCAUGGUGGGGGUUGGAAAGUUUCGGCGGUUGGGGAUGGACUCGCGGCUUAUCAGCUUGUUGGUGGGUAGUGGCUUACCAAGGCUUUGACGGGUAGCCGGCCUGAGAGGGUGACCGGCCACAUUGGGACGGAGAUACGGCCCAGACUCCUACGGGAGGCAGCAGUGGGGAAUAUUGCACAAUGGGCGGAAGCCUGAUGCAGCAACGCCGCGUGCGGGAUGACGGCCUUCGGGUUGUAAACCGCUUUCGCCUGUGACGAAGCGUGAGUGACGGGAAUGGGGAAAGAAGCACCGGCGAACUACGU